CAGCAGUCGCCGCGGGAAUACAGAGGGUGCGAGCGUUAAUCGGAUUUACUGGGCGUAAAGCGUGCGUAGGCGGCUUUUUAAGUCGGAUGUGAAAUCCCUGAGCUUAACUUAGGAAUUGCAUUCGAUACUGGGAAGCUAGAGUAUGGGAGAGGAUGGUAGAAUUCAAGGUGUAGCGGUGAAAUGCGUAGAGAUCUGGAGGAAUACCGAUGGCGAAGGCAGACAUCUGGCCUAACACUGACGCUGAGGUACGAAAGCAUGGGGAGCAAACAGGAUUAGAUACCCCUGUAGUCCCUGUCUCUUAUAC
rnacentral:rRNA from 1 species